GUGUUUACUGUGUUUCAAAUAUGGCUGAGUAGGAAUACGUUUUGAGAGUGCAGUAGAAUUCGAGAGGAGUGGAAGAGGGAGGAGAGUGUUUUUAGAUUACUUGAAGGUAACAUGGCUAAUAGACAGAAUUUUGGUUAAUGGGACAGUGACGGCGACUACGGACACAAGAUGGCAAUAAUACAACACUGGGAUGCCAAACACCGCAAACAGCAGAAAAGAAGACGCACUCAGCCACCCGAUCAGCAGCCAUGGAGAGGAAUCUCCUUUGCUGAUCCAGAACGUCCACAGUAUUUGAGUUGCCUGGCAGCGAGCCCCAUCCUCAGGGAUACACCUGAUGACGAGUGAGAGGAGCACAAAGUAGUGAGGCAAGUUUAGCAUUUCACUCCACGUCUAUGUGGAAGCUGUUCAUCAGUAAAGCCUCUUAAUGACUGAUUUGUGUGAGAGACAGAUGACCUUGCAGAGAGAAGCCUGUUUCAGAGAGCCGACAGCAUAGUCCUUAACAGAAACGGCUGCUGCCUUGGAAGAGUGGCGAAAGAAGCUUGUGUUCAUUGUGUGUUGUGCUUAGUGACAGGACUCAAGGGGUUUGUUUGCAUUGACUAUUGUACUGGGGUUAGGUUUUAAGUCAAUGAGCUGGAAGAAGCCCUCACUCUAUAUGCAACUCAUUUUUACUUGAUAAUGAUCAGUUCUCACUAUAUGCAACUGUAAACUAUGGACACAAUAGAAAAACAACCAUUUAAAAAGAA